AGAGGCGGCUCGGGGGGCCCCGGCACCCCAGCACAGCAUCUCCAGGGACACACCAAGCUUUGAGGGUGCACCCCACCCCCUCACAUCCUCCUCUGUUCCUACACACCUUGCAGCACCUCUGCACCCGUGCAAAACUCAUGCACGCUCUCGGUGCACAAACCCAUAGCCGUGCAUACUCCUGCACCCACACAAACACUUUUGCACCUGGGGGCACAAACCCAUCACCGUGCACACCCCCGUGCACACCCUACACCCAUGCCCAGGCAGCAGUGGGGCAGGCAGUGGGGCAGGCAGCGGGGGCAGGCAGCGGACACGGCCGUGCCAUACACUUCCAUCCCGGAAUCUCAGCAACAGUUACCCAGGCAAUGGGCAAAGCCCGCUCUGGCUGUGUGAUGCCGCACACUCAGCCCCUUUGUGUCCUCAGGCGCCUGUGCCAGGCACACCAACGUGGGCAGCCGGCACUUGCUGACGAUGGCAUCCAGGGGCAGAGCCGCGGGGUUCCAGCGGAGCCGGGCCAGCCCCGCCGCCAGCUUCUCCAUCUCCUCCGCUUCAUCGCCGCCGUCGGGCUCAGGAGGCCCCGAGGCCGCGGUGAGGGGGGGGGGAGGCGGCCGCCACCGCUCCGUUUUCCCCAUCG
rnacentral:lncRNA from 1 species